rnacentral:rRNA from 1 species
UCGGAUGCUGACGAGUGGCGAACGGGUGAGUAAUGCAUCGGAACGUGCCCAGUCGUGGGGGAUAACGCAGCGAAAGCUGUGCUAAUACCGCAUACGAUCUAUGGAUGAAAGCGGGGGAUCGCAAGACCUCGCGCGAUUGGAGCGGCCGAUGUCAGAUUAGCUAGUUGGUGGGGUAAAGGCCCACCAAGGCGACGAUCUGUAGCUGGUCUGAGAGGACGACCAGCCACACUGGGACUGAGACACGGCCCAGACUCCUACGGGAGGCAGCAGUGGGGAAUUUUGGACAAUGGGCGCAAGCCUGAUCCAGCAAUGCCGCGUGCAGGAAGAAGGCCUUCGGGUUGUAAACUGCUUUUGUACGGAACGAAAAGGUCUGGGUUAAUACCCUGGGCUCAUGACGGUACCGUAAGAAUAAGCACCGGCUAACUACGUGCCAGCAGCCGCGGUAAUA